UUCAUGCAGUGAGAAAAAGAAAACAUAGGUCUCAGUAAGGGGUAUUAGAUCAUUGGUGUGGGACUUGAGGAACAGGUUGUGAUUUUAAACAAGAUGGUACACAUGAAUGACAUUUAGCAGAUGGCAUUUGAGCAAACACUUGCUCAAAGGGAGAUAGCCAUUAUAGCUGAUGGAACAAGCAACACCAAAGUCAUAAGGAAGAAUUGUACUCGUGUGUUUGAAGACAUCAAGGAAUCCAGUGUGACAGACAUAGCAAGUGAGGGGAGGGUAUGAGAGGAAUGGGGUGGGAGGCACAGUGGGAAGCCAGGGCAUUUAAGAUAUUGAGGACUUUGGGCUUCAUGCAGCAUAACUGAGUGUAUUUAUAAGAGAAUUCUCAUUGAAUGUUCCCAUUACACCAUGCACUGAGGUAAGCACUUUUUUUAUAUUUCUCUGUGAUUUUUUUUCGUUAGUCUUCAUAAGAACCCUAUGUAUAAAAUAGUAUUAUUAAUGUCUAUAUUUUAUUAACAAGCAUGUUUAGUCCUAAAGAAGUCGAUGAACUCACCCAAGGUCACAUAGAUGGUAAACGAUGAGAACUGUAUCUCGGCUUUCUGACACGUGUCUGUUUGGUCAUAGCAUUAUCUUGAGUCCAAGUUGAAUGGCUUCUAUUUGAUUUUGUAAUGUCAAGUUACCUGAAAUGAUGUAGACAUGCAAUUCAAACUUCCACUGCUGUGCAAAGACUUAAUUCUUGCUAUGGUCUGAAUGUUUCCAUUCCACUCAAAUUAAUGUUAUACUGCUGACCCCCAAAGUUAUGGUAUUAGGAGCUGGGGAAUGUGGGGAGGUGAUGAAGUCACUGGGCAGAGUCAUCAUGUGUAAGAUUAGUGCCCUUUUAAAAGAGGCCUAAAAAAGACUCCUGCUCACCUCUUUCACCAUGUGAGGGCACAGCAAGAAGGUGCAAUCAGUGAACCAGAAAGUGAGCACUCAUGAGGCAUAGAAUCUGCCAGUGCCUUGAUCUGGGACUUCCCAGCAUCCAGGGCUGUAUGAAAGUUCUGUGGUCUGUAAGCCAUCCAGUUUAUGGUAUUUUGUUAUAGCAGCCCAAAUGCUAUAUGGACUUAGCCUCUAUGGACUAAGAUAAUUGGUAAGAGGUCUUCACACUUUCUCAGCUACCAGAAAGUACAUUUGAAUUCAACUGAGAAAAUCUAUUUAGUCAUGGUUUUGCCACGUUACCCCCACCCAACAAACAUUUUUUAUGUUUUCGUGUUGCAAGUUGGGUUCUCGGAGAGGCCUUUGGGGUCAAUCCCUGUGAAAAGGAGGGAAGAGAAGGGGGAAUAGGCAGAAGAGGAGUGAGCUGUGAUGGAGGCCAACUGAUGGCCUCAGCUGAUCUCACCAGAAGCUUGGCAAUCUGGUGGCUCUCAGCAAAACCUUAUUCCCUUACAUCAAUCCAUCACUGGUUGUGGGCCUCUGAAGGAGUAUUGAGGCACAACACCUUACAGCAUCCACCACUAUCUAUAGCAUCAAAAUGCUUUCUGAUUACUUGAGUUGCCCUGGGUGCUACAAGGGAAAUACAAGCAGACUCUAAGUGUGGUUUCACUGAUGUUGAGAUAGCUUCCUUUCAUGGAAAAAGAGGCAAAAACCUUGACAUUUACCCUAUUUCCCCUUUUGGUGUACAGAAAUGCAUUUGGUGUGGAUCUAUAAAUUUAAAGCUAAUAAGAUUUCUAUUCUAAUGCUGCUAUAACUGAUAAUCUAAAAAGAUUCUCGAAUGAUUUUUGUGGUGAGGAUAACCUAGAUUUGUGAAGCUCCACAUAUCGGUUUGUGAGUGUGUAUGUGUUUUAAAGCUAUACUAGAAAUAGAGAAGAGAUACCAUAAGGAAAUGUAUCACGUUUCCCAAUGUUUCUUUCUCAUGCAUGCUCACUUCUUCCUUUUGCUUUCAUCGUCGCUGAGGGUUAUUUGCUGGCGGGACAAUAGUCCCCAUAUCAAAGGGCUUGGUCGGUCAACUUGCCAAGCUAAGCUGCUGCUGACAGAUGAGUGAUGGAAAGAUGUACUGUUGUAUCUGUCAGCUUUGAUGAGAAAAAAAUGGAGCUUAGCUUAGAAUCACUCUCAUUUCCAGAUUUUUAUUUUUAUUGUUAUUUUUUUUCCUGAAAAGAGGAGGGAUUUUUUUUCUGCAUUAUGUAGGUCUCUUUUUCAAUGCUCCCAGGUAAACCAGUCUCAAAGCACAAAGACUGAAAUUCCUCUACGUUCCACAGUUUGUAGGCAAAGAAUUUAGAAUGUGUCUCAUCACCACUUUAUUCUUCUCAUCACCUAGAAAAGUGACUAGCAGAAUCCCCACUUGGUUUAUAAUAAAAGAAAGCAACAAUUUCAUCUAUGAAUUAGCAUACUAGUAUGAAUGUGCACUCUUGAAAAUAUAUGUGCUAUUUUGUAUAGUCUUGUUUCCUGAGAGAGCAGUGACUUGCAUUUUUAUAUAAACACGCUGAAUGUUACGUGUGUUUAGAAAAAUUUAGCAUACAUAUUUCCAGAAUACUGAAAAUCUGACAAACCCUUGUGCCCUCCGGUCGUUACCCAACGUUCCUUCUCUCAGAACUGCCUAUUAAAAAUCCUGCAGAUUGUCUCCCAUCCCUUAUUAAAUGUGCAGGAAAUAAACCUAACUGCUAAGUGUAUGAAGGUCUUGAAAACCAUACUCUGCUGGCCAUUGUCAUUGACAUUAAACUCCCUAAACUAUUUGAAAACAAGGACAUUCAAGUUAACCUUACUUCAUUAUUUAUCACUUCAGAAGGCAACAUGGAUUCUCCAAUCUCUGAGAUUUUUAGGAGAUAAGAGCUUCCAGAACCUUAUCACUCAAUCAUAGAAUCAAAGAAUGUGCUCAGCUAAGACACAUUGAUUGACAAACCCUUUAUGCACAUGAGUGACAAUGUCAGCUUUCAGGAAGCAGAGAAAAGAUGAAGAAAAACAAAAUCUCUAGAUGACUCACAAUUAACUAGGAAAAAUUUUCUGGACAUACAGAGUUCAUAGGUACCUUGGGAGGAGUUUCUAAUGUUUGCCCGUUAAUUAAAGCAUUCAUUUAUUUAAUAAUCACACAUUUAUUGAAUGCCUAUGGGGCUCCAGGAUUUAAAGAUACAGAGCUUAAAAACUCAGACCUUGCCUCUGCUAUAGGGAUUUACAGAAAAAGAAAUGAAUUUAUAAUGCAAUAGAACGAAGGCAUCCCUGGAAGUAUGCUCAGGAAUAUGGAAGGAUAUGGGCUGGAAACCAAACCCAAAUUAGCAGACAUGGGGGAAGAUGUUUUGGUUUUUCUCCACGAAUUCCACAUGACUUCAAAUAAGCUUGAAAUAUGAGUAUGAAUAAGCCAGGAGGCCCAGGAACAGGGAUUGGUGAAGUGGUAGUGAUGGUGGGUUGGGGUUACAUAAACGAGAGAAAGGACAGCACAUUCGGAGCCACCAAGGGGCAGGAUUGAGAAACUGCAAGCAAUUCAAGAUGGCGGGAAUAGAACUGAUGAGGCUAGAAAUAAAGAGGUUGAUCUACAGGAGGAAGACAAGGGCCAGAUGGAGGCCUUAUAAGCCCUGCUGAGGAAUUUGAACUUUAUCAUGAAGGCAACAGGGACCCACUGAAGGAAUGUAAGACACUUGAGGGCAGGAAUGGAACUGUCUUCUUCACUAUUUCAAGGGCUAGGAAGAGGAGUGACAUUGAGAAGAGACUGAAUAAAAAGUUGUUAAAUGAAGGAAUGGAUUUAAAAGCACCCUGAUCUGCAGUGUACCUGAAACAGCAUAUACUUCAUAUCACAACUGCAGUAUCUUCAUCCUUGCUCAUGUUUUUUUUCCACUGCACUAAAAUGCUUCUUUAAAUAGAAGAAUCAAAAUAGUAAGAUUCAAUGAUAAGCAGAUACUAUUUUGAAAUUUUAUUUUGAUUAGAAAUGGAUUGCAGUAAUAUUUUUACUUUCUGUGGAAUGGUUAUGUACAUAAUAAAUACUCUGCCUG